rnacentral:ncRNA from 1 species
AUUCCCUCAUAAGGGUGCGGAUACUGAACUGGUGAUGCGGGAUGAACCGAAAGCCAGGCUACGGUGCCAAAGUGCGCGCUAACCCAGAUCCCACAAAGGGUGUUGAUUGAUUAAGACAGCAGGACGGUGGUCAUGGAAGUCGAAAUCCGCUAAGGAGUGUGUAACAACUCACCUGCCGAAUCAACUAGCCCCGAAAAUGGAUGGCGCUUAAGCGCGCGGCCUAUGCCCGGCCAUCGCGGCGAUUGUGAGGCCCCGAUGAGUA